CCUACGGGUGGCAGCAGUAGGGAAUCUUCCACAAUGGGCGAAAGCCUGAUGGAGCAACGCCGCGUGGGUGAAGAAGGUCUUCGGAUCGUAAAACCCUGUUGUUAGAGAAGAAAGUUCGUGAGAGUAACUGUUCACGUUUCGACGGUACCUAACCAGAAAGCCACGGCUAACUACGUGCCAGCAGCCGCGGGAAUACGUAGGUGGCAAGCGUUAUCCGGAUUUAUUGGGCGUAAAGGGAACGCAGGCGGUCUUUUAAGUCUGAUGUGAAAGCCGUCGGCUUAACCGGAGUAGGGCAUUGGAAACUGGGAGACGUGAGUGCAGAAGAGGAGAGUGGAACUCCAGGUGUAGCGGUGAAAUGCGUAGAUAUAUGGAAGAACACCAGUGGCGAAGGCGGCUCUCUGGUCUGUAACUGACGCUGAGGUUCGAAGGCGUGGGUAGCGAACGGGAUUAGAUACCCCUGUAGUC
rnacentral:rRNA from 1 species